rnacentral:rRNA from 1 species
ACCCCCACGGGUAGACGAACCACCCCUGGGGGAGGGUCGGCCUGGCCCCCCUCCCCCUCAUUUUCAUAAUGACGUAACGCAGCCUGUCUUUGCAUGUAAUUGACGUCUCAUGAAUACAACUUUCAACAACGGAUCUCUUGGCUUUCGCAUCGAUGAAGAACGCCGCGAAAGCGCGAAACGUAAUGUGAAUUGCAGAAUUCAGUGAAUCAUCGAAUCUUUGAACGCAUCUUGCGCUCCUUGGCAUUCCGAGGAGCAUGCCUGUUUGAGUGUCGUGAAACCUUCUCAACCCGCAAGGGUUUGGACUCUGGACGUCUGCGGUGCGCUUAGCCACCACCGCUCGUCUUCAAAUGCAUCAGCGGUCCCGUCGGGUAUGGGCAAAAGACGGCGUGAUAAGGAAAAACGCUUGCUUUGGCGCCGUUCCCGCCCGCAUGGGGGAGACCGCUACUAGCCGUCGUCCUUAAAGGGGACCACCUUGACAUCUGACCUCAAAUCAGGUAGGGCUACCCGCUGAACUUAAGCAUAUCAAUAAGCGGAGGAA